CCUACGGGAGGCAGCAGUGAGGAAUAUUGGUCAAUGGGCGCGAGCCUGAACCAGCCAAGUAGCGUGAAGGAUGACUGCCCUACGGGUUGUAAACUUCUUUUAUAAAGGAAUAAAGUGAGGCACGUGUGCCUUUUUGUAUGUACUUUAUGAAUAAGGAGCGGCUAACUCCGUGCCAGCAGCCGCGGUAAUACGGAGGAUCCGAGCGUUAUCCGGAUGUAUUGGGUUUAAAGGGAGCGUAGGUGGAUUGUUAAGUCAGUUGGGUAAGUUUGCGGCUCAACCGUAAAAUUGCAGUUGCAACUGGCAGUCUUGCGUACAGUCGCGGUGGGCGGCCUUCGUGUUGUAGCGGU
rnacentral:rRNA from 1 species